rnacentral:rRNA from 1 species
UACGGAAGGUCCAGGCGUUAUCCGGAUUUAUUGGGUUUAAAGGGAGCGUAGGCCGAUGGCCAAGCGUGUUGUGAAAUGUGGACGCUCAACGUCCGACUUGCAGCGCGAACUGGCCGUCUUGAGUGCGCGCAACGUUGGCGGAAUUCGUCGUGUAGCGGUGAAAUGCUUAGAUAUGACGAAGAACUCCGAUUGCGAAGGCAGCUGACGGGAGCGCAACUGACGCUGAAGCUCGAAGGUGCGGGUAUCGAAC